CCUACGGGUGGCUGCAGUGGGGAAUUUUUCGCAAUGGGGGAAACCCUGACGAAGCAACGCCGCGUGGAGGAUGAAGGCCUUCGGGUCGUAAACUCCUGUCGACCGGGAAGAAUGCACUCGACCUAAUACGUCGAUGUGUUGACUGUACCGGUGGAGGAAGCCACGGCUAACUCUGUGCCAGCAGCCGCGGUAAUACAGAGGUGGCAAGCGUUGUUCGGAAUUACUGGGCGUAAAGGGCGCGUAGGCGGCCCGUCAAGUCCCGUGUGAAAGCCCCCGGCUCAACCGGGGAACGGCGCGGGAAACUAGCAGGCUUGAGUUCGGGAGAGGGAAGCGGAAUUCCGGGUGUAGCGGUGAAAUGCGCAGAUAUCCGGAGGAACACCGGUGGCGAAGGCGGCUUCCUGGACCGACACUGACGCUGAGGCGCGAAAGCUAGGGGAGCAAACGGGAUUAGAUACCCUAGUAGUC
rnacentral:rRNA from 1 species